GCAAUCAAAUGUAUCGAGAUGAUUCAUUGUACCUAUCUAAAUUUUUUUGUUUUAUAAAAUUACAAUAAUAGUUCACUAUAGUAAUGAUGAUACAUGAUAUAUUCCUCCAUAAUAAUUAGCAUGUUAACGGUUAAUACGUUUUAACCAUUGCAUGUGCAACACGUGUUGCUUUUUAUCAUUGUGUCUGCGCUGAUGUCAAAAGUACCAUUUCAUUUGUCAAUUGUCUCGCAGAAAAUAAAACGAAUAAAAUGUUGUUGUUUUUUUUUGUAUCACUUCCAACAGUACUAGUGUAAACUGUUAUACUAUACAUGUGUGCAUUGUGGCUUGGACCUCCACUGUUGUUUCGGUCGAUUUGCCCAUAUACCGUUUAUAUAUUUACAUAAAUUAGACGGCGGCCAACAAUUAAUUAUAAUGAUAAUGAUAGUGUCGUCAAUAUUUAUCUGUUACGAUACACUGAUGCGUGACAAAUAAUAAUACAAAGAGGAAUAAUGUACCUAAUAUUACAAUGAAUUUGAUUCUAAUUAAAUUUAAAAUUUUGACAAUCGUGAUUUGGCAUAGACAUAGUAGAGCCGAAGCUCAAAAGUUUACGACAAAAUGCUGUCCAAUAACAAAGAUACCUGACGGGGACGAAUGUAAAGAAAGUAACAUAACAUUUAAACCGAUAUUUUGGCCAACAUACAUUAAUGACAACAAUGACAAUAUCAAUAUCACCUUCGGUAAUCCUUGCAAAUAUGGAAGGUAUUUGAUGGAAGAAGGAAUUUAUAGUGAGUUUUUUGUAUUGCACAAUGGUACACUGUACCUACCUAACGACAAACAAUUAUUGAGUGCAGACCAAUAUUGUCUGGAUACAUUUUUUAUACAAGAAAAAGCUAUUAUAUUACCUCUCGUAUGUUUCCCAAAGCCUAAGUGCUCGGAAUAUUGGCAGAAAUUGGUAAUUUUCGUACUUCCAUAUGGAUUAUUCGUUUCGUCGUUAUUCAUGGCAAUCAGUGUGCUAUUAGAAAUACAGAAACAAAACAAAUUUAACACAAUCAAUAGGUUUCACCAUUACUUUUUGUACUUACACACGUGUUUGAUAAUUUCAUCGACUACUUUGGCCACAAGACAUGUUACCGAUCAAAUAAUGGCCAACACUAAUGCGGCAAUAGCACUUUUGUAUGAAAUCAACUAUAAUUGAUAUAUUUCAUCUUGGUAGAAUUCAUUCUUCAGUCUUCAUACAUGACAAGCUUAUUGAUAGUCGCUGUAAUUACUUACGAAUCAUGGAAAAACUUUAAACGCAAUAACACAAACAACAAUAUAAUUGACAAAUACAUUAGCAAAAUUAAUAGCAUUAACGUGGCGAUUUGUAUGUUUUUAAUUCAAGGGAUAAUUUUCUACAUAAUCGGAUGGUCGUCGGUUUUACCCACAAUUUUUUUAUUAUACAGUGAAACCGAAUCGUCAUCAAUGCAUUAUUUACGAAUUUCUAUUUAUAAAGUAUUUGUCGGAUUGCUUUUGCUUGGUAUAGGAUAUUUAUUGGCCGUUAUUAUAACAAAGGAUGAAAACAAAGAAAACGCAAAAACACAAGAAACGUCACAAAAAUUAUAUUGCAAGUACCAGUUGAAUAAAAAUGUUUUAGCGUUCAGUCUAAUGGCGUUUCACUGGUUGCUGGAAGUAUUUGGUAUUCCGAAUUCAAAUGUGGCUUUUAACAUUUGGAUUACGUUGAUACUACUAACCUAUUUGACGUAUAGUAUUAUUUUAUUAUUGUUAUCGGCGUUUUAUACAAGAAGAUUAACAGCUGUAGACAACAGACAGACAGAAAUCACUUCUAACUGUUUAUUAAAUUAAAUCUAAGGUAUUUUACCUUAAUUCAGUUAUUUUAUAAUUGUAAAAGGUACAUGGUACAUUUAUCGAUUAGCAGCAAAAUUUGUAUACCUGUAAAAAAUAAAAAAGUUGUUAUUGUUAAUCAUUGGACUGCGUAAAAAAGUAAUUUGAGACUUAAUAGAUGUUAUAUUUUGUUGUGUGAUUAUAGCAAAGGUAUUAUAAGAUACUAUCCUGCUACCAAAUUGCUAAAAACCAGUACAAAAAUAAAUAAUAAUUUUUUAUC